rnacentral:tRNA from 1 species
GCAUUGGUGGUUCAGUGGUAGAAUUCUCGCCUGCCACGCGGGAGACCCGGGUCUGAUUCCUGGCCUAAACA